UUGAAAGCUGCAAAAUCUAAAGCACCUACAAUCACAAUCUGUUACAAAAAGCUUUUUUCGUAUCACGCUAACAAGUGUACACAGAUCAAUGUACGUCAAUGCUGGAACAUGCAUAGAGAGCUGGAAAGUCAGAAAACGAAUAAGAGCUCUUUGAUAGUACAGAAAAGACAAAGUGUCGGAUAGGAUGCAGCCCCAUUCAUUUGUGAAUGUGCUCAAAGAAUCCGUCAAACAUGCUCCGAAAUCAAAAGCUUCAAAGCUGAGAGCGGCUCGGCAGCAGAUGAAAACUGGGCGUCGCUCAUGUUGCGUCUGAUCAUCAACAAUAUCAUUGAGGCGGAGCAUAGUAUGUAUAAUAUCUACAUUUCUGAGCUGGAUCCCAAGACAGAUUAUAUACUGCUGGAGGAUUUAUCAACCAAAAUAUGAAUCGCUCAGACGGACUGGGAAGCAGCUCGGCAAAGGCUGGCUCAGUGGCAUGCCGCCUCCGCUGUGCGUGUGUGGCCACCAAGGGACUAUAUCCGGAUCUGCUCAAUACCAGUUUCUACAAGGAAGAAACCUGCGCACUGAUGAACAAGCAAAUGUAACGCAAUUUUGGUUAAGAGCUGUGCUACAUACGAAGGCAAUGAGAAGUACAUAGAGCAAGCGCGCCUCAGAGAGCCCAAGAUCGUCGAGGGCAUGUUUAAAAGAUUUUCAAGAUUUGUAUCCCGUCCGGCUCUCCUCCGCGAAAUUCGAGGAUAAGCUGAGAAAAUUUAGCGACUCCAAAAUAAGCAAUGAGUUGAAGAACCUGAUUUAGGUCGUAAUACCUUGACUACUCAAUCGCUUUGGAGAUAUAGUUUAGUGCAUUGUUUGGGAAUGUAUAGGAAAAAUUACUAAUCAGUUAAGCUAGAAUUAUUUAGUUCUUUUGACUCUUGAUAAAUAUAAUAUUAUAAAAUAUGAAUACAAUCAAAAACAAAAACAAAAUAUCCAAAAAAAUGUAUAAAUAAGUAGAGGAUAACGACAGAAUUUACAUAUUACCUAUCAGAACUUGCGUGCAAACAA